UACGUAGGGCGCAAGCGUUAUCCGGAAUUAUUGGGCGUAAAGCGUGCGCAGGCGGUCCGCAAAGUCUGAUGUGAAAGCCCCGGGCUCAACCUGGGAACUGCAUUGGAAACUAACGGGGCUCGAGUGUGGCAGAGGGGGGUGGGAAUUCCACGUGUAGCAGUGAAAUGCGUAGAGAUGUGGAGGAACACCGAUGGCGAAGGCAGCCCCCUGGGCUAACACUGACGCUCAGGCACGAAAGCGUGGGGAGCGAACAGG
rnacentral:rRNA from 1 species